AUCAAGUGGACUCCCACCUACCUCAUGGGUAUUUUGACCCUCAGAUAACGGUCGAUGGCGAUGGCCAAGAGGGCCAGGAUGGAACUUUGAGUGAGGACCAGCACGGUGCAAGCGACCGCCAGACAGCUGUAGAAGCUGCUGUCGUGACUGGAGCGAAAGAAAACCGGCACGAGGUCACUAAUGGCGCCGUCUGCAUCAUCCCAUGGAAUGGAAUGUGGAAGGUGAUUUGGCGACAAGGUGCAAUUCCAGCUGAGCUUCAAAGCUCAUUGUGAUGCAGCCUGCAACAUCCCCGGACCACAACAGAAUUCUUCCUGACUGCUGGACUGACCUCUAUGUACCAAAUGUCCUUUGUUGGAGGACUCACCGAAAUGUCAUCAACGAAAUGUCCCUUUGAGGACGAGCCAACAGCUGAUAAGAUAAGUGCAUUUUUGACAUUCACCAUAUUGCUGUCUCACAGCCUCAUAAACUUCACUAUAAUGAUCCUUAUUAGGUUAUUUCACAUUUAAAAGAGCCUCAAGGAGCCCGUUCAAUGAAGAAGAAAGAAUUAUACUGCGUCACGUGAUUCCCUCCAGCAGCAGCAGUUGUAAAUUUUAAUGGCUUCCAGAGGUGAUGUCUUUAAAAGGCAAAGCUGCAGCAGGAAGUUUCACAGAAAUACUAAACAUCCCACCCUUUAAAAUUGUGACAAAUUCCAGUUUCUUUCAAUUCCUGACAUCAGUUUGAAACAUUGUCUGCCGAGUGAUGCAGAAAGUCCCAGUGAGCGCUUGUCUCCGGGGGAAGCAGUCCAAGACGGCCUCUGCCAUCUUGUCCCGGCUUCACCCGAGUUCAUUGCCUCGACUGUGACUAAUCGAAUCGACCCAUCUCAGUGACUGACUGGGCUAACGUUUAAUUGACUCUCAGGAUAUGCAGCAAGAUGAUGGAACCGAAUUUUUAUCAUGUAACAGAAAAGCACUUGGCUUGUGACCACUUUGUGACUUUACAUCAUCCACACGUGGAGCUCUUUCUUCUACUUUGCACGUGCUGAUCUCCUGCAUGGACUCCAGUUGGUCUAAAGUUCAAGUCACCAGAUUGUCUCGCGCGCCGGGGGAUGUGCAAUAGAAAACGCUCGUCUCUGAUGAUCUCUAAGAAGGAAACGAGAGGAGGCCCGAUCACCCCAACACCCAAAACCAUUCAAGCUGUUCUGCUGCAGUGAACCUUGUCGCUCAACUUUGGCCAAAGCUGCAAGCUUGUUAGUGAGCAUGCUCUUUUAUGAAGCUUCUGUCCUAAUGAGGUUCAAUAGACUCUGUGUCCAAUGAAUCAUGACUCCCACAUUCUCCUGCCCGAUUUUUUUUUAAUCACGCCACAUCAAGUAGAAUAUAUGUUGAGGUUCAUAAAAGUUAUGUGAAGACCAAAGCACGUUGUUUUUAGUUUGUUUUAUACAUCAGAUUAAGAAAAAAUAGGUUAGGGUUUUGAAGAAAGAUUUCAAACUCGGGUUAGAUGAUGAGGAGAUAAAUUAUAUGAUGUCAAUGUCCGUAAAAUAUUAUGAUGGCAGGAGUGUCAAGGUGCGGGCUGGAGUGCAGAGGUGGGAUUUGACAGAUGAAGAGAGAUGAAGCAAAGAAAGACAGAGUUAGAUGCUUUUACUUUUUCAAAUCAGUGGAUAAAACUACUUAGGAGUAUAAAAACAAAAAUAGAAGAAAAAAAACAACAAUCCAAGCAUUUCCUUUUUCCUAAAGCCAAGGGUUUAAAUGAGGGGUGUGUUGAUAUUUGUUCCGAGUUGUGUAAUCCCAUUAACGACCUAUUCGUUUUGUCGUGCUCAUAAUUCUUUACAAGGAGAUUAAUGUUGCAAUUAGUCGACAUGGCAAAUUUAAUUAGUACAAAACUAAAAUCUAUUUCCAGCACCACAGGGUUUGGGCUAUUCUGAAUUAUGAACGUGAAGAAUUCAGACCAAGCAAACAUUUGAAAUGAAAAAAGAAGUAAGCCAAAAAUGAUUUGUCUCCAAAAUGAUUAAUUUAUAAACAUUUAACAAACAAAUGAAAUGUAUUUGUCUCUAGAGUACUUACUAUUUCAUGAGAACUGAUCAAAUAGGCAGCGAAUGUUAAUACUGGACUGGAAUUUUACAAUUUGAUUUGAAUUAAGAAUGAAACUUGAUCUUUUUUUGAGGAAACAGAAUUGAUUAUGUAUAGUAAGGCUUUUCUUAAUAAAAAAAAAAAAAAAAACAUGUACGGCUUUUUUAGUGAAAAAGUAAAAUACCAUGUAUGGUAAGGCUUUUUAUAUAUAAAAAAUGACAAUUUACAGUAUUGCUUUUAGUUAGUAAAAAAAUGAUCAUGUAUAGCAAGGCUUUUAUAUUAUAUAUAUAUAUAUUAAAUGCAUAGUAUUUUUUUGUGAAAACGUGAACACGUAUAGUAAGGUUUUUUUUGUAAAAUAUAUAUUUUACUUUUUA